AGGAGGCAGCUCUCUCGGGAC
rnacentral:miRNA from 1 species